CAGCCGCCGCGGUAACACCAGCCCCUCGAGUGGUGGGGAUGAUUAUUGGGCCUAAAGCAUCCGUAGCCUGCUUUGCCAGUUUUCGGUUAAAUCCAUACGCUCAACGUAUGGGCUGCCGGGAAUACUACAAAGCUAGGGAGUGGGAGAGGUAGACGGUACUCGGUAGGAAGGGGUAAAAUCCUUUGAUCUAUUGGUGACCACCUGUGGCGAAGGCGGUCUACCAGAACACGUCCGACGGUGAGGGAUGAAAGCUGGGGGAGCAAACCGGAUUAGAUACCCGGGUAGUCCCAGCUGUAAACUAUGCAAACUCAGUGAUGCAUUGGCUUGAUGCCAAUGCAGUGCUGCAGGGAAGCCGUUAAGUUUGCCGCCUGGGAAGUACGUACGCAAGUAUGAAACUUAAAGGAAUUGGCGGGGGAGCAC
rnacentral:rRNA from 2 species